CGGCAGGCUCCAGUGACAACGGUGUGAUUAGGGAGCCCAUGCUGAUGGCAGACCCAGGGCCUCCUGCUCUCCUCCAAAAGUCGCAAGGCUCCCACAGUCACGACUCACAGGAAGCCAAGAAGGGCACCAGGGACAGGUGGCAGACAUCCCGGCAUCGUGAAAAGGAAAGACACAAUCUGAGAAGCAACCCUGCAGGACUUGGCUGAAAGUCAACGGGCGGCUGAUCAAAUGAAGCAAUAGAAGCUGUGUAAUUUGUCACAUCAAGCAUCUGCGACAAACCCACGCACGAUCCGAGGAAUAAAAGUAGAAAUAAAUUGAAGGGAGGAAGGAACAAGGAGGAGACAGUGAGAGGACUGGGGAGGCUCCCAGUACAAAAGGUGGCAAAAGAGCUGAAGAUUGACAGCUGGCAAAGGUCUGUU